CAACGCUGUUGCCUUCAUUGUUAGGCGGCUUUCUUGGUUUACUGGCCAUUGCGUAUGGAGUAUACAGGCUAGUGCAAUGGGCCAAGCUGCAGGGUUUUCUUGGAGGUGUUGCUCCACCUCCAGGACCAGCCGGGCCCCAGCUCCAGGAGCAGCAGCUGCAGCAGAUGAGGGACGCCGCCGCAUCCGCAGCAGAGGAACGGCUCGAAAGAGGAGCAGCAGCUGCCCGGGUUGCCGUCUAGACAGCGACCAUUCAUUGAUCAGUUUCUUUGUCGGCUGUCUUUGUGGAUCAACUCGAUAUGAUGCAUCGUUAGUGGUUGUGUUGAGUUUUUCACCUGCUCGUGCUGGAUGCUUAAUUGCUUGGGUCGAAAAAAACAUGUACUAUUGAUUUGUCCCAGCUAUAACAUGUACUCAGGCAUUGAGAAUUCACUAUUUGAUCAACAGAGCUGCUUAGCGGUUGUUUGAUGCAUCGAUAGUCAAUGUAAACAACAACCACUAAUCAGUUAGUAGUAGGCCAAGUAUUAUAUAGACUGUUUCUUGGUA